AUUGAGCGCUGGCGGCAUGCUUUACACAUGCAAGUCGAACGGCAGCGCGGGCUUCGGCCUGGCGGCGAGUGGCGAACGGGUGAGUAAUGCAUCGGAACGUGCCCAGUAGUGGGGGAUAGCCCGGCGAAAGCCGGAUUAAUACCGCAUACGACCUGAGGGUGAAAGCGGGGGACCGAAAGGCCUCGCGCUAUUGGAGCGGCCGAUGUCGGAUUAGCUAGUUGGUGGGGUAAAGGCUUACCAAGGCGACGAUCCGUAGCUGGUCUGAGAGGACGACCAGCCACACUGGGACUGAGACACGGCCCAGACUCCUACGGGAGGCAGCAGUGGGGAAUGUUGGACAAUGGGGGCAACCCUGAUCCAGCCAUGCCGCGUGCGGGAAGAAGGCCUUCGGGUUGUAAACCGCUUUUGUUCGGGAAGAAAUCCUCUGGGCUAAUACCCCGGGGGGAUGACGGUACCGGAAGAAUAAGCACCGGCUAACUACGUG
rnacentral:rRNA from 1 species